rnacentral:rRNA from 1 species
ACGAACGCUGGCGGCGUGCUUAACACCUGCAAGUCGAACGCUGAAGCUCAGCUUUUGUUGGGUGGAUGUGUGGCGAACGGGUGAGUAACACGUGAGUAACCUGCCCCCUUCUUUGGGAUAACGCCCGGAAACGGGUGCUAAUACUGGAUAUUCACUGGUCUUCGCAUGGGGGUUGGUGGAAAGGGUUUUUCUGGUGGGGGAUGGGCUCGCGGCCUAUCAGCUUGUUGGUGGGGUGAUGGCCUACCAAGGCUUUGACGGGUAGCCGGCCUGAGAGGGUGACCGGUCAGAGUGGGAGUGAGAUAAGGCCCAGACUGAUACGGGAGGCAGAAGUGGGGAAUAUUGCACAAUGGGGGAAAGCCUGAUGCAGCGAAGAGGCGUGAGGGAUGGAGGCCUUCGGGUUGUGAACCUCUUUCGCUCAUGGUCAAGCCGCAACAAUGGUUGUGGUGAGGGUAGUGGGUAAAGAAGCGCCGGCUAACUACGUG